rnacentral:rRNA from 1 species
GGACCAGACUCCUACGGGAGGCAGCAGUGGGGGAUAUUGCACAAUGGGGGGAACCCUGAUGCAGCGACGCCGCGUGGGUGAAGAAGCGCCUCGGCGCGUAAAGCCCUGUCAGCAGGGAAGAAAAUGACGGUACCUGAAGAAGAAGCCCCGACUAACUACGUGCCAGCAGCCGUGGUAAUACGUAGGGGGCAAGCGUUAUCCGGAAUUACUGGGUGUAAAGGGAGCGCAGACGGCAGUGCAAGUCUGGAGUGAAAGCCCGUGGCUUAACUACGGGAUUGCUCUGGAAACUGUGCAGCUAGAGUGCAGGAGAGGCAGGCGGAAUUCCUAGUGUAGCGGUGAAAUGCGUAGAUAUUAGGAGGAACACCGGUGGCGAAGGCGGCCUGCUGGACUGUAACUGACGUUGAGGCUCGAAAGCGUGGGGAGCAAACAGGAUUAGAUACCCCGGUAAU